AAUCUGCCCCCAUGUCCGUCGGCGAUGCCGACAACAUGCCCAGGUAGCCCAGACCCUCAAGGCUACGGUGCGUUGCGCCGCACUGGUCUUUCUCUUCGCCAAGCCGUUCCCGGCGCUUUCUUCCACCCCUUGGGGCAGCGUCUGC
rfam:Thauera terpenica 58Eu Cont18, whole genome shotgun sequence.